AAGUAUCUGCAGUGAUGCCCCGGCGAAAAGGGAAUCAGGUGAAAAUCCUGAACGGUCCGGCCACUGUUAGCAGGGAGCAGAAUACAAAAUGCCAUUGUAUGUGAUCAUAUGAGAAGGCGUAUCCUGCAGCGAACUGCAGUCAGGAAACCUGCUUGAAAAGU
rnacentral:ncRNA from 1 species